rnacentral:siRNA from 1 species
UUCGUUAGUGGACAAAGUCUUUGU